rnacentral:rRNA from 1 species
UGGGGAAUUUUGCACAAUGGGGGAAACCCUGAUGCAGCGACGCCGCGUGAUUUAGAAGGCCUUCGGGUUGUAAAAAUCUUUUGUAUGGGAAGAAAAUGACAGUACCAUACGAAUAAGGACCGGCUAACUACGUGCCAGCAGCCGCGGUAAUACGUAGGUCCCGAGCGUUGUCCGGAUUUAUUGGGCGUAAAGCGAGCGCAGGCGGUUAGAAAAGUCUGAAGUGAAAGGCAGUGGCUCAACCAUUGUAGGCUUUGGAAACUGUUUAACUUGAGUGCAGAAGGGGAGAGUGGAAUUCCAUGUGUAGCGGUGAAAUGCGUAGAUAUAUGGAGGAACACCGGUGGCGAAAGCGGCUCUCUGGUCUGUAACUGACGCUGAGGCUCGAAAGCGUGGGGAGCGAACAGG